rnacentral:rRNA from 1 species
CACGAGCGCAACCCCUGUGGCUAGUUNCUAACGCGUUAUGGNGAGGACUCUAGUCAGACUGCCCANAUCAACUGGGAGGAAGGUGGGGAUGACGUCAGGUCANUAUGGCCCUUACGCCUAGGGCUGCACACGUACUACAAUGGCCAGUACAAUGAGAACCGAUCCCGCGAGGAGGAGGAAAUCUAUAAAACUGGUCUCAGUUCGGAUUGGAGGCUGCAACUCGCCUCCAUGAAGUUGGAAUCGCUAGUAAUGGCACAUCAGCUACGGUGCCGUGAAUACGUUCCCGGGUCUUGNACACACCGCCCGU